UCACGAAAGUGACCAACGUCCGAAGCCCGUCUUUAUGGCGGUCCACGAUGGGGUCAUGAUUGGGUG
rnacentral:rRNA from 1 species